CCAGACUCCUACGGGAGGCAGCAGUGAGGAAUAUUGGUCAAUGGGCGAGAGCCUGAACCAGCCAAGUCGCGUGAAGGACGACGGUUCUAUGGAUUGUAAACUUCUUUUGUAGAGGAAUAAUGGCAGCUACGCGUAGCUGAGAUGCAUGUACUCUACGAAUAAGUAUCGGCUAACUCCGUGCCAGCAGCCGCGGUAAUACGGAGGAUACGAGCGUUAUCCGGAAUUAUUGGGUUUAAAGGGUGCGUAGGUGGCGUAUUAAGUCAGUGGUGAAAAGCUGCAGCUCAACUGUAGUCUUGCCGUUGAAACUGAUAUGCUAGAGAGGAGACGAGGUAUGCGGAAUGUGUGGUGUAGCGGUGAAAUGCAUAGAUAUCACACAGAACGCCGAUUGCGAAGGCAGCGUACCAGGCUCCGUCUGACACUGAAGCACGAAAGCGUGGGGAUCAAACAGGAUUAGAUACCCUGGUAGUCCACGCAGUAAACGAUGAAUACUAGAUUUUUGCGAUAUAGUGUAAGAGUCUAAGCGAAAGCGAUAAGUAUUCCACCUGGGGAGUACGCCGGCAACGGUGAAACUCAAAGGAAUUGACGGGGGCCCGCACAAG
rnacentral:rRNA from 1 species